CUCUCUCUCUCUCUCUCUCUCUCUCUCUCUCUCUCUCUCUCUCUCUCUCCUCCCCCUUUUUCCUCUCUCACACACAUACAUUAAUCUCCGUAACGUCGAAAUUGUACAUUUUCGCAACGAAAAAAGACGAGAAAGAAUUUAUAAACUUCUCUUUUACUCCGAAUACGAAAUGGAUAUUCAGAUUGAAAGUUGCACAUAAUUAGACUACGGGUGCAAUUGCAGCUGCAACAAAUUAUACGUAUAAAAUAUAAACUGCAAGGACUACAAAAAGCAAAAUAGUCACUUUUAUACGAAAAUAUUCGUUUCAUUUUUCUUUCUCCUCGUUUUCUCCCUUUUUGUGUCAUUAGCGGACUUUCUUAAGAGUAACAUGUAACAUGUAACGACUGCAGAAUAACUCGCUGUAAUUCACGUCGUUAUAACAUCUAAUGAUUUUUCUUCCAUUUUUCUUUCAUACAAUACCGUGCGCUUGGGAAAUGCAUCAUGAAAACGACCGCGAUGCAUUUGCGACCCGAGCCGCAGUGCCGCUGGUGCAUUUGAUAAUUCGAUUUUCUUCGUCGGAAAUGAAAUUCCCGGUUCUCUCUGGAUAUACCAGCUGUCUCCUGAAAAGGUGUCUAGCGACAACUUUAAAAUAGCACCAUGCGUAACGUGCAAUCGCGUUAGGAUGAGAACGAGGAAAUUGAAGCGGAAAAAUUCACUUCAUAUCAGUAGCUAAACGGAAGCACGGAAUAACGAUCUCUUGCGAAUAUUUCACGAUCCCAACGAGAUGCCGACUGUCCAAGAGUUGACGAUCGUUACGUCCAACGAUACCAACACAACAUACGAUUACGAUUACGAUUACGACAUCAACGAAUCCUUCAGUUAUUUCAAUUGGGCGGAAUUGGCACCCGUACUCAUCGUUUACGGCCUAACCUUUGUCCUCGGAUUAGUCGGGAACGUCGUUAUGAUCGCUUCUACCCUAUGUCCACGACUCAGACCGUUACCAGCGACACCGACGAAUGUCUUCUUGGGCGGUCUGGCUACCGCUGAUCUCCUGUUGAUUAUAUUCUGCAUACCCGUGAAGGUAGCAAAAUUAUUCUCCUACACGUGGACUAUGGGUAUCUUCCUGUGCAAAGCGGUGCAUUACAUGCAGAGCGUGUCGGCCAUCUGCUCGGUCGUCACUCUUACCGCAAUGUCGAUCGAGAGGUAUUACGCGAUAGUGCAUCCAAUGAGAGCGCAGUAUACGUGUACGAUAAGCCAAGCUCGCAGGAUUGUAAUUAUAACUUGGAUUGCGGCGUUCCUAUUAGGAAUUCCAAUAGUGUUCACACAGAUGCACAAGCAAGUAGGACUGAGAUUAAUCGCGUACUGGUGUGUUCGCGAUUCCGAAGCUGGGCUCCUGUGGCAAAUCCACGAGGUCUACAUGCUCCUCCUAGUUCUCGUCCUGCCGUUGACUGUCAUGGCGUUCUGCUACACGACCAUUUGUUGGGAGAUCUGGCGCGUUAUGAAGCGCCGAUAUCAUAUGACGUCGCGACACGCGUUACAUCCAAGCAACACGGACGCGGAAUCCAUACCAAUGACGACAAAGCGACAAAACGUCGCGAGAAACGAACGGCGGACGCGUCGUGACGAUACCGACGAGGAGUCACGGACCAUGAAGCAGGUGGUGAAGAUGUUGGUGGCCGUUGUACUGCUGUUUGCGCUAUGCUGGGGUCCAAUUCUCAUCGACAAUGUGCUAACCGCUUACGGUUAUCUUCCUCGUAUCAAGAGCGGAGCACACAAGCACCUCAACACCGUGUUCCAACUAAUGGCCUACUUCAACAGCUGCAUAAACCCGAUAGUGUACGGAUUUAUGUCGAAGCACUUCAGAAAGAACUUCCUGUCAGCCGCCUGCGGCGGAUGGUGGCUUUGCUGCCCUAGACGAGGCUACCGAGCGUCCGUCACGAGGCAUCCCAGUCUCAGCCAGACCAGGACCACUAGCGUGAGGUGGAUUCGAAACUCGUCCGACCUGCAUCCCGUAGUUUACCCGUGACACGCUCACGGAAGACGAGAACCAAGGCCCACCAAAACUCGUGCAUGCCUCACGAAUGUCCGGCUAAACUAGACAAAUGCAACACGGUACGAUUGUGAAUCGAGAUGGAUCUGAUUCUUUUUUCCCCGGACCAAGUCGUCGAGGGAGGCCUCCGUCAGACAGGAGACUUUCGACGGAUGGUGAAUAAAGUCGAGAGAAGUACGAUUACACAGGAUUUACAGUGGUAGGAGGUACACAUCGCGCCCUUCGACCUUCGCAGCCGCCUACGACUGACGCAAAGUGGAUACGAGUAGAAGCGUACGGUCGCGCGUGUAUUGAAAGUAACAAACCCGCAUAAACCAUCCGUCAGAUCGUCGCGUAAUCGGUGCAAGUUCCCAGCGAGUCCCGGUUCUCGUUCACCAUUCGCACCGCAUAUAAACUCUCGUUCGCGUCGUCGGCUGAAUAAUUGGAUGUUAGAAUAAUCGAACCUGCGUUUAACCUGCGGUUUCAGACGCGCGGGCAACGCGCACACCAGUCAUAGCUACGUGUAGACUAUACGAAGCUAUGAAUAACGUAUAAACAUGUUCACCUCCACCUUCAGAUCUCGUAGAUUUAGAAAUAGCUCACAAAAAUAUAUUACCAAAGUAAAGAAGCUGAUUAAACUAUUAAACGCGAAACACAAGAUCGGAAGGGACGAUUGAAUAUUCGCGUAGAAAAUUUCUCGAAUGCCGUUAAGUUGAAACCUUCUCAAUUUGUAGAUUCGCUCAACGCGUAAUAUAUCAUUUUAAUGCUCAUAAAUAAUUCAACGAAGGACCAAAAUCCUAUAUCCGAUAUAAUUUGUCGAUUCAGCAAUUAUAAAAAUACUCGACAAGUCUCAAGAAAAAGAGGACGUUUCGACAGCUGCUCGAUGCACGUUUCCGAAAUAUACUCUCGACAUGUCUCGAGAAGUAUUCGUUGCGAUGUUGGUCGCAGUCAAUAAACAAUUAUACGUUAUUUAACAAACAUUGUACAACAACGAGAAGGUUUGUCAAACAUUCGCGGCGCUUUUGGUAAACGGCCGGCAGGAAUUUUUCAAACAAUUUCCCGCAAUGUGCUUACCUAGGCUGUAAAUUCGUUUACUUUACCAGCGCUUUCGCGUGCUUGUGUAUUUAAAGCGUUUCAGGGAAAAAAAAUUGCGAGAGAAUGCUCUCCCUCCUACAAUACAUUAUCUUUCCACAGGACUAAAUUAACGUUUACGUAUAGUGUGUACAACGGAAAUACAGAGGGAAAUUUUCAAUUGUACGUAAGCUCUGGCAGUAAAAGAUCGAUCUUUGUACGUAUAUUAAUUAUAUUAAAUGUUAGGACAGGUUCUAUAACAGAUGAUGUUGCUAGAAAUAAUAAUUGCAUUAAAACAUUAAAUCGAGGAAGAAUCUCUCAAGUAUGUAUGGGUGAUAUUUACGUGUUAUUGUACAUGCUUUUACGUUUUUCCUUACAUAUAUAAAACUUUGUUUUCGAAAAAAUGAAAUAGGAAAAUUUCUCAAUUAAAAAGUUUUAAGAUAGAAAUAUGUCCUUUUUUUUCUCAGAGAGAAAGAGUGCGGUCAAGAUACUUGGUCCAAUUUCUUCGUAUUCGAUUUCCUAAUUUUGCUAUAAGAAAUAAUCAUGAGUUAAAAUUACAGGUAUAUCAGUUUCAACGUGUACGUUUUUAUCGUUCCCAAAGAAAUGAAUUCCAAAAUUUUCAAGUCCGACAGAUGGCGCAACCAAGAAAAUUAAAAAACAUAAUUUAUUGUAAUGCAAAUAAAAUAUAUCUUUAUUCAAAGUAUUAUUUGAGAGUCAUAUCACUCAAAUCCUUGUUGAAAAUGAAAUGAAAUAAAUCAUGACAGUGACUAUAUCCAAGGUACUAGGUGAUGCACAUGACAAAACACUUUUAAACUUGUAUAUUUGUAAUCCACUCGUAAUUAUCUUUGGUUUUAUAACAAAAUUAAUUGGGAAAUCGAAUACGAAGAAAUUGAAAAAAAAUCGUCUAUAGCUAUUUAGCUGCACUCUGCCUACUUGUAUCGCACGGAAUCAUUGGGCACUCGUAGUUAUAAGUCUAAAACCAGUUACAGGAAUCUCCCUAUACAUAAAAAAACACGCACGAACGUUUAUUUAUGUAAUAACAGCACGAGUAAACUCCAUAUAACGCGAUCAGAAAAUUUGCAAACUGAUUCUUUUUCUUCGUAACUUAUAAUAGAAACGUUUUGCAAUUAAUUUCAUCUUCUACGUAACUUCUUGUGCAAUUUCUUCGAAAGGUGGCGCGCACCAAAUUUAGCAAUUGUUUAAAAGGAAUAAGACAAAUUAUGAGAUGAGCGUUCUUGUUACAGAAAAAAUAAAGAGAUAUUAGUCCAGUAACUUUUUAAUCACGCAACGUAUGGACCCAUAAGUAAACCGCAACGUUGAAAACGGCAUUAGUUUUAAAUUCAUACUAGUCAAUUUCUUCGAAAGCUAUACUAUUUUUGUUACAUCCAAAAACAAAUAUUAAAUAAAUGUGGAGCAAAUGUCUUUUU